rnacentral:rRNA from 1 species
AACGAACGCUGGCGGCAUGCCUAACACAUGCAAGUCGAACGGGACCUUCGGGUCUAGUGGCGCACGGGUGCGUAACGCGUGGGAACCUGCCCUUAGGUUCGGAAUAACUCCCCGAAAGGGGUGCUAAUACCGGAUAAUGUCUUCGGACCAAAGAUUUAUCGCCUUUGGAUGGGCCCGCGUUGGAUUAGCUAGUUGGUAGGGUAAAAGCCUACCAAGGCGACGAUCCAUAGCUGGUCUGAGAGGAUGAUCAGCCACACUGGGACUGAGACACGGCCCAGACUCCUACGGGAGGCAGCAGUGGGGAAUAUUGGACAAUGGGCGAAAGCCUGAUCCAGCAAUGCCGCGUGAGUGAUGAAGGCCUUAGGGUUGUAAAGCUCUUUUAACCGGGAUGAUAAUGACAGUACCGGGAGAAUAAGCUCCGGCUAACUCCGUG